rnacentral:rRNA from 1 species
UACGUAGGGAGCGAGCGUUGUCCGGAAUUACUGGGCGUAAAGCGCACGUAGGCGGCUUGGUAUGUCGGGUGUGAAAUCCCCGGGCUCAACCUGGGAACUGCAUCCGAAACUGCCUUGCUCGAGUAUGGGAGAGGGAAGUGGAAUUUCCGGUGUAGCGGUGAAAUGCGUAGAUAUCGGAAGGAACACCGGUGGCGAAAGCGACGUGCUGGACCUUUUCUGACGCUGAGGCGCGAAAGCCAGGGGAGCAAACGGG